CCUCAUUCCCCAGCAGUGGCUGCAGGGGUUGCUGGGUCCCUGUUGUUCCUGCUCCUGCUGCUGGGAGUCACCAUGAGCUGUCAGUGGUGGCAACACAAGGCAGCCAGGAAGCCCCAGGACAGGGCCCCCCCGGAGCCUUCAGGCCCCUGGCAAAAGGGGGAGGUGCUGUACACCCACAUUGUAGGCACUGGGCGGGCAGGGGGAUCCCCCUGCACCACCCCACCCCAGGACCUCCAGGUGACCUUUGCAGAGCUUCCAGGAGCC